AUUGAACGCUGGCGGCAGGCCUAACACAUGCAAGUCGAACGAGUGGCGGACGGGUGAGUAAUGUCUGGGAAACUGCCCGAUGGAGGGGGAUAACUACUGGAAACGGUAGCUAAUACCGCAUACCAUCGGAUGUGCCCAGAUGGGCUUAGCUUGUAGGUGAGGUAACGGCUCACCAAGGCGACGAUCCCUAGCUGGUCUGAGCGGAUGACCAGGCACACUGAAACUGAGACACGGUCCAGACUCCUACGGGAGGCAGCAGUGGGGAAUAGUGCACAAUGGGAGCAAGCCUGAUGCAUGCGUGCGGGGUGUAUGAAGAAGGCCUUCGGGUUGUAAAGUACUUUCGGCGGGGAGGCGUUACCGGCAAAAGAAGCACCGGCUAACGCCGUGCCAGGAGCCACGGUAAGGC
rnacentral:rRNA from 1 species